AACGAACGCUGGCGGCAGGCUUAACACAUGCAAGUCGAACGCGUGUAGCAAUACACGAGUGGCGCACGGGUGAGUAACGCGUGGAUAUCUGCCUUUUGGUUCGGAAUAACCCCGGGAAACUGGGGCUAAUACCGGAUGGUUCCUUCGGGAUAAAGAUUUAUCGCCAAAAGAUGAGUCCGCGUACGAUUAGCUAGUUGGUGAGAUAAUGGCUCACCAAGGCGACGAUCGUUAGCUGGUCUGAGAGGACGAUCAGCCACACUGGGACUGAGACACGGCCCAGACUCCUACGGGAGGCAGCAGUGGGGAAUAUUGGACAAUGGGGGCAACCCUGAUCCAGCCAUGCCGCGUGAGUGAUGAAGGCCUUCGGGUUGUAAAGCUCUUUUGGCGGGGACGAUGAUGACGGUACCCGCAGAAUAAGCCCCGGCUAACUUCGUGCCAGCAGCCGCAGUAAGAC
rnacentral:rRNA from 1 species